CUGAAGGGCGCGUCCGGGUCAAUUGCGGCUUGCAACACCCGAUCUCCCUCAACACACCUCCCGACGUGGAGGUCGCCGAGGGGGAGCGCGUGACCAUCAG
ncrna:Natronobacterium gregoryi SP2 L4-Archaeoglobi ribosomal protein leader